rnacentral:rRNA from 1 species
UUCAAGUUUUUAAGAGCAAACGGUGAAUGCCUUGGCAUCUGGAGCCGAAGAAGGACGUCGUAAUCUGCGAUAAGCCUCGGGGAGCUGAUAAACGAGCUGUGAUCCGAGGAUUUCCGAAUGGGGAAACCCCGCCAGGCCCCUUGUGGUGACCUGGUGACUCCCGCCUGAAUAUAUAGGGCGGGUAGAGGGAACGUGGGGAAGUGAAACAUCUCAGUACCCACAGGAAGAGAAAACAAUAGUGAUUCCGUGAGUAGUGGCGAGCGAAACCGGAACAGGCUAAACCGAUCAUGUGUGAUAGCCGGCAGGCGUUGCAUGGUCGGGGUUGUGGGACUUUCCAGCAGUUACUGCCGUACUGCGAGAGUUACAGCGCUAUAUAGAUGAAUGGGAUUGAAAGCCCAGCCGGAGAAGGUGCCAGCCCUGUAGUCGAAAUGUAGUUAUGGCUCGGUGAGUAUCCCAAGUAUCGCGGGGCCCGAGAAAUCCCGCGUGAAUCUGUCAGGACCACCUGAUAAGCCUAAAUACUCCCAGAUGACCGAUAGCGGACAAGUACCGUGAGGGAAAGGUGAAAAGUACCCCGGGAGGGGAGUGAAAUAGUACCUGAAACC